rnacentral:rRNA from 1 species
CUAUAAUGCAAGUCGAGCGAUGAUUAAAGAUAGCUUGCUAUUUUUAUGAAGAGCGGCGAACGGGUGAGUAACGCGUGGGAAAUCUGCCGAGUAGCGGGGGACAACGUUUGGAAACGAACGCUAAUACCGCAUAACAAUGAGAAUCGCAUGAUUCUUAUUUGAAAGAAGCAAUUGCUUCACUACUUGAUGAUCCCGCGUUGUAUUAGCUAGUUGGUAGUGUAAAGGACUACCAAGGCGAUGAUACAUAGCCGACCUGAGAGGGUGAUCGGCCACACUGGGACCGAGACACGGCCCAGACUCCUACGGGAGGCAGCAGUAGGGAAUCUUCGGCAAUGGGGGCAACCCUGACCGAGCAACGCCGCGUGAGUGAAGAAGGUUUUCGGAUCGUAAAACUCUGUUGUUAGAGAAGAACGUUAAGUAGAGUGGAAAAUUACUUAAGUGACGGUAUCUAACCAGAAAGGGACGGCUAACUACGUGCCAGCAGCCGCGGUAAUACGUAGGUCCCAAGCGUUGUCCGGAUUUAUUGGGCGUAAAGCGAGCGCAGGUGGUUUCUUAAGUCUGAUGUAAAAGGCAGUGGCUCAACCAUUGUGUGCAUUGGAAACUGGGAGACUUGAGUGCAGGAGAGGAGAGUGGAAUUCCAUGUGUAGCGGUGAAAUGCGUAGAUAUAUGGAGGAACACCGGAGGCGAAAGCGGCUCUCUGGCCUGUAACUGACACUGAGGCUCGAAAGCGUGGGGAGCAAACAGGAUUAGAUACCCUGGUAGUCCACGCCGUAAACGAUGAGUGCUAGCUGUAGGGA